UAAAGGUAUUCCGGUAGACGAUGGGGAUGCGUUCCAUUAGAUAGUAGGCGGGGUAACGGCCCACCUAGUCUUCGAUGGAUAGGGGUUCUGAGAGGAAGGUCCCCCACAUUGGAACUGAGACACGGUCCAAACUCCUACGGGAGGCAGCAGUGAGGAAUAUUGGUCAAUGGGCGCAGGCCUGAACCAGCCAAGUAGCGUGAAGGAUGACUGCCCUAUGGGUUGUAAACUUCUUUUAUAAAGGAAUAAAGUCGGGUAUGGAUACCCGUUUGCAUGUACUUUAUGAAUAAGGAUCGGCUAACUCCGUGCCAGCAGCCGCGGUAAUACGGAGGAUCCGAGCGUUAUCCGGAUUUAUUGGGUUCAAAGGGAGCGUAGAUGGAUGUUUAAGUCAGUUGUGAAAGUUUGCGGCUCAACCGUAAAAUUGCAGUUGAUACUGGAUAUCUUGAGUGCAGUUGAGGCAGGCGGAAUUCGUGGUGUAGCGGUGAAAUGCUUAGAUAUCACGAAGAACUCCGAUUGCGAAGGCAGCCUGCUAAGCUGCAACUGACAUUGAGGCUCGAAAGUGUGGGUAUCAAACAGGAUUAGAUACCCUGGUAGUCCACACGGUAAACGAUGAAUACUCGCUGUUUGCGAUAUACGGCAA
rnacentral:rRNA from 1 species